AGCGAACGCUGGCGGCAGGCCUAACACAUGCAAGUCGAACGGAUCCUUCGGGAUUAGUGGCGGACGGGUGAGUAACACGUGGGAACGUGCCCUUUGGUUCGGAACAACUCAGGGAAACUUGAGCUAAUACCGGAUGUGCCCUUCGGGGGAAAGAUUUAUCGCCAUUGGAGCGGCCCGCGUCUGAUUAGCUAGUUGGUGAGGUAACGGCCCACCAAGGCGACGAUCAGUAGCUGUCUGAGAGGAUGAUCAGCCACACUGGGACUGAGACACGGCCCAGACUCCUACGGGAGGCAGCAGUGGGGAAUCUUGCGCAAUGGGCGAAAGCCUGACGCAGCCAUGCCGCGUGAAUGAUGAAGGUCUUAGGAUUGUAAAAUUCUUUCAGCGGGGACGAUAAUGACGGUACCCGCAGAAGAAGCUCCGGCUAACUUCGUG
rnacentral:rRNA from 1 species